GGCGUCCGCUAGGGCGCGCUGCGAGACCGGGAAUGCCCGCCCGGCGCCCCGCCGCCCCGGCCGCGCGCACACGCCGUGCCCUCGCCCCCCUCGAAAUCAUAUUUACAGUUCUUUUUUUUCCCCCCUCUCCUGUGACAUUUUCUCCAAAUCGGAAAAUGAAGUGUAAGUCGAGCUUUGCCGCAGGCGGCCCUCGGUCUCCGCUUUCCGGCUCGGGGUCCCGGAGUGAGAUGCGCUGCCCCCGGCAGUGCGAACCCCGGGGGACGGAGUGGGGCCCCCAGCCCAGCACCCCGGGCCCGGCCGCUCCGCCAGCGGAGACCGCGGAGUCCGGCUCUGCGCCGCGCGCGGGUGCGCUCCGGACGCGGCGAGUCGCAGGCCUCGCCGCGGGUUCAAGUGCAUCCCCGCGGCUGGAGCCCGCGGCUCUGAGAGCGAGUUCUGCCCUGCUCAGCCCCCUCUGGGAGUUCUGUGCGCCCGCGGCUCCCGGGCCCCUCUCCCCGACCCCGCAGCGCGCUGGGCCGCCGGCUGGGGGCAGGCACCCGGCUCGCGCUCCUCCUGGCCCGGGCCGGGCCCCCGGCGCGGCGCUGCCCCCGGGCCGAGCAGGAGGCUCCGCCUGGAAAAGAAGUCAGACUUCCUCUCCACGCUGCUCCGACUGGAAUCUGGAAUCGGCAGGAAAUUGCUCCAACACCCGGGCCGCGCCUUUGCAGUCAGCCCUCGCUUUGCUGAAGAGAAGCAGCUCCCACCAAAGUCUUGCCUCCCCCUCCCCCCGAAAGCCCCGCGCAGAUCGCAGUUCACCUGUCCUUCAGAAAAAAUAUUUUCAUAACUAUUAAAAACAGCAUCACGACUAGUAUUUUUAACUGUCUUCAGGUAGAUAUAUGAUUGCUGUCAGAGCCUACAAGAAAAGCCUGGAGCCAUGCACUCACCCGGGCGAAGCCAUAAAGAGCUUAUGCUAGAAAGGAUGCCCACCAGACUUUUCCUUCUAAGUGUUCCAUUAUCAUCUGAAGAUUAAUUGUUCAGAAAAAGAGAAUUCACUCAAUAUUCUCCUUGUGGAUAACUGUCCACUGAACUUGUUUUUCCCUUCCAUACGGUGGAAAUGCAGCUACCCAUCUGGGACAGUGCUUCCAGUCUCCUGUGCAUCUAGCUGGGGUCAUGUGACGAGUUUUCACCACUGGAAAACGAGCAGAAGGAGCAUUUCUAAGAAGUGAAUGUGCCAUCUCCACUAUCUCUGAGGGCAGGAAAUGAUUCUGAAGACAUAGGGCAAGGCCAAGCCUCAAGUUAGAAACCUGAAUCCUUCAUCCCACAGCUUUCAAGCUCAACAUGCCCAUCCCUCCCCAGACCCAUUAAGUGGCAAAGAAGGGAAAUAUUUCUACUUUCUUCAUGGUCUUCGAAAGGAUGGACACACAGCCCUGAGGGAAAUCGCUGGCCAGAGGAAAGCAGUCCCCUAGAGAUAGCAAUCCAAAUAUCAUCAUAGAGCUGGGCCACAGCCAGCAUCUCCAUCAGCAACUUUGAAGAGUUGUCUGUCUUCCCAGCACAAUAAAACUGGAGACAUGAGCAUCCAGAGCUCCAGCCAGCACAAUUACAUGAAGCCAAAGCGCAUUAUCACUUCUAGGUUGCAGGAUUUAUGACCAGCUCCGAUGGAAAAUAAAGACAGAGAUACUCUACUUGUCUGAAUUCAUCACUCACAAAAGGCAGUAUGUUUUAAUCAUAGAGAAGUUGUCUAUAUUGUACUUUUUCUAACAAAAACCUUCACAAGCAGAGCAGAAACGGAUACCAGCAUCUUAAAGAAAAAAAGAAAAAUGCAAAAGAUUGCCAGUUUGAUUCUGUUCAGAAAAUAUGCCCUUGAUAUCCUUUAUUGUUGAAAAGCUCCUUUCAAAUGCAUUGAGGCAAGUGCUUCUAUUUUGGAGUUUCCCUGGGUUUGGGAAACUGCUUCUAACCUGAGUGGAACAGAGGGGUAGGUUUGUAGGUCUGUAUGGUGUAUCAGUGUCAGCUGAUCCAGGGACUAAGUAAUGAGGCUAAAAUCAUUCUACUUCUAGGAUGCCUGUGACUUCCAUUUGCCAUGAGAGUGUUAAUUCCUGUGGCAGUACGCCUGCCAUGAGCUCCCCCAGAGCCAUGCUCUUCACCAGCACAGCAUUCUCAGGCAUUACUACAGAUGCUCAUUAAUCAUCUCUACUCUAGGAGGUACGCCCUGUGAGCUCAGACUCUUGGUGUUCCUGGCUCAGUGCUAGGACAUGGUGAAUGCAGAAAAUAUUGAAGAGCUCUGAUUAGGUUGUGAUUUUAAGUAAUUAAAAUUCUUGGGCUGGCCCUGUGGCAUAGUGGUUAAGUUCAGCAUGCUCCACUUCAGCAGCCUGGGUUCAGUUCCAGGGUGUGGACUCAAACCACUCAUUGGUGGCCGUGCUGUGGUGGCGACCCACAUACAAAAUAGAAGAAGAUUGGCACAGAUGAUAGCUCUGGGAGAAUCUUCCUCAAGCAAAAAGAGGAAGAUUGGCAACAGGUAAUAGCUCAGGACCAAUCUUCCUCAGCAGAAAAAAAUUAUUUACAAGGACCAUUUGUUUUCACUGUUAGUUCCCUCAUAGACAAAGAAAGGGUAAACCAGUGUGGUUUUUGUCUAAUGUUUUCAAAUUUUGAAUUAUUUAAAUACAUGUUGGUGAAAUUGCUAUUUAACUGUUUAUCAGAACCAAAAUUACAGCCUCAAACCUUCCACAAAAUGGAAAAGACUGUUUGGAAAAGGAAGGAAGGUGCCACAUAAUCCUUUAAACACAAGAUUCAGCCCUUACUUCUACUGAUGCUUGGAAUAGCUCCCAAAACCCUAAAAGUGGGUUUGUUUCCGGAACACCUGGACCAGAGACCACAUUUUUAUGAGGUUUGCCUUUCACAGUGAAGUUUACAUCAGGGAGCUAUAUUUUCCCUAUAUUUACUUUUAAGUCAUUUGGGUUUUCUAAUAAAAUAACAAUUCUCAUUUUCUUCCUUCUUCCCAGAUGAACACAUUUAUUGUUUUAAUCUGUGAAAGGUUCUACAUGGGGCUGUGGUUGAUGAUUGGGACGCUCUGGAAUGGUGCAUUAGGAAAAGAAUAUUAUUUACAUUUAGGAAAAUACUCAGUUGGCUGAAUGUCUAGCCACUAAAAUAAUAACAGUUCGUCAAAACAUAGUUAUCCCAAAUAUCCUUUCAAGAGCGGCGAUCAGAUUUCCUGAAGAGUCCAAGAUGAGGAUGAGAAUUGUGAGGAGGCGAGACCAGAGGGACAAACCAGGUUUGGAAACAGGAAGUAGGUCAAGGAAUUGAGGGUUUGAAAUAUAGGAAAAGAAAGAACUCAUGGAAUUCUCCUCCGUAGACGUCUAGUCUGAACGUAAUCCAGGCUGGUGGGAGGUAAAAUCACUAUCUGAUAUUCUGUGGCCACCUCAAAAAUGUGUUGGUAGUUUCAACCAGACUGGAGUCCACAUUGAAAAACCAUCAGCCCCACUGCCUCAGGCUGCACAGCACAGCUACAGGCCCAAAUCUGCCCAGAGGGACCCAGUGCCACUUAUGGUCAGGAUGGGGGUUGGUGGGGAGAAGAGCAGCAUGUGUACUCAAGCUGGUCGCUAAGGGGGACAGUGGGGGUGUCCAGUCCAGGGCGAUGCAUUCAGCUCCGCUCUGGAGCAGUAAACAGAGAAGUGACAAGAGGCUGGGCUCCCUUGUUGUUGUUGUUGUUAGUGCCUUUGAGUUGAUUCUGACUCUGUGAAGCAGAGCAGAACCCUGCUUUUUGCCCCAUCCUCUCACCUUUUGGUGCUGUAUCAGACGAUGCUCUGCUGUUAAUCAUAGGAGUUUCAUGGCCAGUGUUUUUGUAAGUGGGUGGCCAGGUCCUUCUUCCUAGGCUGUCUUAGUCUGGAAGCUCUGCUGAAACCUGUCCACCCUGGGUGACCCUGCUGGGACUUGAAUUUCUAGUGGCAUAGCCUUCAGCAUCAUAGCAACACGCAGACACCACAGGAUGACAACCAAGAGAUGGCAGUGUGGUUCCCUGACCAGGAAAGGAACUCGAGUCCUGGUGGUGAGAGUUCCGAAUCUUAACCACUUGGCCACCAGGGCUGGCUAAGCUCUUUUGUUAGGAACUCUUAAUCUUGUAAGGUGACCAUAGAUUGGUAGAUUUAUUUUUUUAUUCAAAUAAUAACUUGGAGUAUAUAUAUAAUAAAUAUGUAUGUGUAUAUGUACAUGCUUGAUUAGUAUUUAUAUAAAAGUGAAUGUAUUAAAACAUUCUAAACUUACAUUGUGGUGAUGGUUGCGCAUCUCUGUGAAUACACUAAAACCCAUUAAGUUGUACACUUUAAAUGGAUAAGUUUUAUGAUAUGUGAUUAUAUCUCACUAAAGAUGUUUUCAUCCCUUUAUUUUUCUAAAAAUAAAAAUUGUAGACUGG
rnacentral:lncRNA from 1 species